ensembl:lncRNA
CCCCUCCUCCCCCUUCUCCUCCUCCUCCUCCUCCUCCUCCUCCUCCUCCCUCUCCUCCUCCAGUCACGGUGUGGUUAAAAGGUUCAAAGCAAAGCACAACUCUGACGUGAUGUCAGAGACCGUGCCAACCGUCGCUGUGCGUGGUCUCAGCGCCCUGCAUGUCCCACAGCCUCCUUAUCUCUGCCCGCCAGCGCUAGGAGGCUUCAAACCUUUAGCUGAACAGCGGGAGAAGGAAGGAGCUCUCUGCGCCAUGGAACAACAUUCCUCAGGCUGGGAAUGCCGAAACAUUCCCAACACUGACGGAGAAACUGGAAGAAGAGGAGAAUAUCAAAGAGAUAACUAAGUCUCAGAAGAAGGCAUGUUUUCCACUGGUUUGGUACAAAUGUUUUCCUUUACUCGAUGUAAACAAAUGAUUGUGGUCAUGUGACAGGAAGCUGUUUGACUGUGUGACCAAUCACUGGCCUCCUCUCAGCUCGUGGUGGUUCUUUAAGAAGCGGAGGUCCUCACUUGUGUACUUAAUGAUUGAUUGUUGAUCUCUGUUCUGCUGGUAGCGUUAGACUCUAUGGCUCUGUGUCGUGUUCCGAGAUCAGUUAAAUAAAGCUUUAGUUUCCUUGCGGUUCACGUUGGUUGGGCCCAGUGCGUUAUGGGUAAGCUGGGUGCUCAGGGGUUGUGAUGGUCGAAGAAAAGGGGAAAGUGGUUUCUUGUUUUGCCAUUUGACUUGCAG